rnacentral:rRNA from 1 species
GCGCACGCUGGCGGCCGGCCUCACCCAUGCAAGUCGCACGCACCUUUCGGGGUUAGUGGCGGACGGGUGAGUAACACGUGGGAACGUGCCUUUAGGUUCGGAAUAACUCAGGGAAACUUGUGCUAAUACCGAAUGUGCCCUUCGGGGGAAAGAUUAAUCGCCUUUAGAGCGGCCCGCGUCUGAUUAGCUAGUUGGUUGAGGUAAUGGCUCACCAAGGCGACGAUCAGUAGCUGGUCUGAGAGGAUGAUCAGCCACAUUGGGACUGAGACACGGCCCAAACUCCUACGGGAGGCAGCAGUGGGGAAUCUUGCGCAAUGGGCGAAAGCCUGACGCAGCCAUGCCGCGUGAAUGAUGAAGGUCUUAGGAUUGUAAAAUUCUUUCACCGGGGACGAUAAUGACGGUACCCGGAGAAGAAGCCCCGGCUAACUUCGUG